AGGAUGAACGCUGGCGGCGUGCUUAACACAUGCAAGUCGAACGAACAACCUUGGCAACUUCGGUUUCCAAGGUGGGUGAGUGGCGAACGGGUGAGUAACACGUAGGAACCUACCCUGGAGAGGGGGAUAACAUCCGGAAACGGAUGCUAAUCCCGCAUAGUCUUGCUUCGGCAAGUAAAGCUCCGGCGCUCUGGGAGGGUCCUGCGGCCUAUCAGGUAGUUGGUGUGGUAACGGCGCACCAAGCCGAUGACGGGUAGGGGGCGUGAGAGCGUGGCCCCCCCACACGGGAACUGAGACACGGUCCCGACGCCUACGGGCGGCAGCAGCGAGGAAUCUUGCGCAAUGGGGGAAACCCUGACGCAGCGACGCCGCGUGCGGGAUGAAGGCCUUCGGGUCGUAAACCGCUUUUCGUGGGGGACGAGGGAAGGACGGUACCUCGAGGAAUAAGUCCCGGACUAACUACGUGCCAGCAGCCGAC
rnacentral:rRNA from 1 species